rnacentral:rRNA from 1 species
UGUCAAAUCACAAUUUGACAAUCAGAACGAUUAAGUGGUCGGGUGACGGCGUACCUUUUGUAUAAUGGGUCAGCGACUUAUAUUCUGUAGCAAGGUUAACCGUUUAGGGGAGCCGUAGGGAAACCGAGUCUUAAUAGGGCGAAUUAGUUGCAGGGUAUAGACCCGAAACCGAGUGAUCUAUCCAUGAGCAGGUUGAAAGUGCCGUAACAGGCACCGGAGGACCGAACCCACUGUCGUUGAAAAGCCAGGGGAUGACUUGUGGAUAGGGGUGAAAGGCUAAUCAAACUCGGUGAUAGCUGGUUCUCCCCGAAAGCUAUUUAGGUAGCGCCUCGGACGAAUACCAUUGGGGGUAGAGCACUGUUUCGGCUAGGGGGUCAUCCCGACUUACCAAACCGAUGCAAACUCCGAAUACCGAUGAGUAAUAUCCGGGAGACAGACGGCGGGUGCUAACGUCCGUCGUCAAGAGGGAAACAACCCAGACCGCCAGCUAAGGCCCCAAAUUCCUAGUUAAGUGGGAAACGAUGUGGGAAGGCACAGACAGCUAGGAGGUUGGCUUAGAAGCAGCCACCCUUUAAAGAAAGCGUAAUAGCUCACUAGUCGAGUCGGCCUGCGCGGAAGAUGUAACGGGGCUCAAACUAGGAGCCGAAGCUGCGGAUUUAAUUGUUUCAAUUAAGUGGUAGGGGAGCGUUGUGUAAGCCUGUGAAGGUGUAUCGUAAGGUAUGCUGGAGGUAUCACAAGAGCGAAUGCUGACGUGAGUAACGACAAAACGGGUGAAAAGCCCGUUCGCCGGAAGACCAAGGGUUCCAGUCCAACGUUAAUCGGGGCUGGGUGAGUCGACCCCUAAGGCGAGGCCGAAAGGCGUAGUCGAUGGGAAAUCGGUUAAUAUUCCGAUACUUGUUUAUGAUGCGAUGGAGGGACGGAGAAGGUUAUGUCAGCCUGGCGUUGGUUGUCCAGGUGGAAGGAUGUAGUUAGGUUUGGUAGGCAAAUCCGCCAGACUAUUAAUGAGAUCUGAUAGCAAGCCAGUUUACUGGCGAAGUGGCAAAUACCCUGCUUCCAGGAAAAGCUUCUAAGCGAUAGUCAUAAAGAAAUCGUACCCGAAACCGACACAGGUGGUCAGGUAGAGAAUACCAAGGCGCUUGAGAGAACUCUGCUGAAGGAACUAGGCAAAAUGGUACCGUAACUUCGGGAGAAGGUACGCUGCCGAUGGUGAUGGAACUUGCUUCCUGAGCUGUUGGCAGUCGCAGAUACCAGGCUGCUGCAACUGUUUAUUAAAAACACAGCACUCUGCAAACACGAAAGUGGACGUAUAGGGUGUGAUGCCUGCCCGGUGCUGGAAGGUUAAUUGAUGGGGUUAGCGUAAGCGAAGCUCUUGAUCGAAGCCCCAGUAAACGGCGGCCGUAACUAUAACGGUCCUAAGGUAGCGAAAUUCCUUGUCGGGUAAGUUCCGACCUGCACGAAUGGCAUAAUGAUGGCAGCGCUGUCUCCAGCAGAGACUCAGUGAAAUCGAAAUCGCAGUGAAGAUGCUGUGUACCCGCGGCUAGACGGAAAGACCCCGUGAACCUUUACUACAGCUUUACAUUGAACUUUGACCUAACUUGUGUAGGAUAGGUGGGAGGCUUUGAAGUGGCGACGCCAGUUGCCAUGGAGCCAACCUUGAAAUACCACCCUGGUUAUGUUGGGGUUCUAACUUAGAUAUAACAGUAUCAAGGACAAUGUAUGGUGGGUAGUUUGACUGGGGCGGUCUCCUCCUAAAGAGUAACGGAGGAGUACGAAGGUGCGCUCAGAACGGUCGGAAAUCGUUCAAAGAGUAUAAAGGCAAAAGCGCGCUUAACUGCGAGACCCACAAGUCGAGCAGGUACGAAAGUAGGUCUUAGUGAUCCGGUGGUUCUGUAUGGAAGGGCCAUCGCUCAACGGAUAAAAGGUACUCUGGGGAUAACAGGCUGAUACCGCCCAAGAGUUCAUAUCGACGGCGGUGUUUGGCACCUCGAUGUCGGCUCAUCUCAUCCUGGGGCUGAAGCAGGUCCCAAGGGUAUGGCUGUUCGCCAUUUAAAGAGGUACGCGAGCUGGGUUUAGAACGUCGUGAGACAGUUCGGUCCCUAUCUACCGUGGGCGUUGGAAAUUUGAGAGGAUCUGCUCCUAGUACGAGAGGACCAGAGUGGACGAACCUCUGGUGUUCCGGUUGUUUCGCCAGAAGCAUCGCCGGGUAGCUACGUUCGGAUGGGAUAACCGCUGAAAGCAUCUAAGCGGGAAGCCCACCUCAAGAUAAGAUUUCCCUAAAGAGCCGUUGUAGACUACGACGUUGAUAGGUUGGGUGUGGAAGCACAGCGAUGUGUGUAGCUAACCAAUACUAAUUGCUCGUUUGGCUUGACCAU